rnacentral:rRNA from 1 species
AUACGGAGGGUGCAAGCGUUGUUCGGAAUUACUGGGCGUAAAGCGCGCGUAGGCGGUUUGUUAUGUCAGAUGUGAAAGUCCACGGCUCAACCGUGGAAGUGCAUUUGAAACUGGCAAACUUGAGUACUGGAGGGGGUGGUGGAAUUCCCGGUGUAGAGGUGAAAUUCGUAGAUAUCGGGAGGAAUACCGGUGGCGAAGGCGACCACCUGGCCAGAUACUGACGCUGAGGUGCGAAAGCGUGGGGAGCAAACAGGAUUAGAUACCCGAGUAGUCC